ensembl:lncRNA
AAUGCCACAUGCAUAGGAACAUGGCUACACAGAGAUAAUGCAUGUCAGCUUCAGACUUGUAACAGCAAGUGGUUUUUUUUAUUGCUUUCAUGAUCUAAAUGUCCAUAUAUGGGGUGUAACUGGAAAUCAUGUGACUUCCUGAAGUUCAGCUUCCAAUUCUUGUAAACAUAUGUAAGAAUUUCACUUUCUGAUUUCUAGAAACCAAAAGUGAGGUGCUUCUCAGUAAAUAUUUUGCCCUACAGAAAUUGAUGUUCAUGUAAAUGAUCCUCCUAAUCUAUGCUAAACAUGAAAAACUACACUACUCAGCCACAGCCUGCCUUUGUAAAGCUUGGAUGUGCUGGCACAAAGCCAAGAGAUAUCUGCCUAGACACACCAGGAUGGAAUCUGGGGAAUGUGAAGUGGAAGCUAAGCAGUGCCGGCAGCACCUGGGAGCAGCCAGCCUCCAUACCUGCUUUGGGAAGACACAGAAGAGAAGUCUCAAGCUCAAGGGGGACCGGUUAAUAUGAGUUUCUGAAAGGACCUACCACCAUCCAUGCAGUAGAGGGAUUAAAUUACUGAAGACCAGAAGACAAAGAGAGAAAAACAUUUGGGGUCUGUGGCUUACUGCCAUUAAGACAUAUAGAGGAUGGAGCAUCAGACAGAUCCUGAAUCUGCAGAUAUUAUUCCUACCUCAUAGUCAGAAAACGCCUACCUUUGUGAACACUGUUCUGUGGAAAGGAAGAAGUGUACUGUUAAGAAUAAGUCUCCCCUAGCUUACAACAGAGGUCCUUCUCAUGAAGAUGUCAAGACAACUUGGCUAACACUUGGGCUCCUCCUGCGGACCCAAAGAAACCAAACAGCACAUGGAAUAGUUAGAAGGUGGAAGAUUCCAUGUCAAAUACAUUCAGGAUUUUCUGUUAGCAGAAAAGCCGAAUAAACCUUGCAUGCAAUCACAUAGCAACAGCAAAGCAAGGGAGAAAGUCUAAAGCAAGCCCCACAGGCUCCUCUGCCUGCCCUCCCAGAGGAACGAGAGCUGAGCUGGCAUUUCUUGGUGAAGUUCCCACUGCCAAGCACUGUGCAUGCAGUGACGCUAAGGGACACAUUCUGUUCAACUGAAUACAAGAAAGAUAACCAUCUGUGCUCAUUUUACUCAUUUCAGUUCUGAAUCUGUGCCCAUUAACCAUAUAAUGGUUGGGGGAAAAAACAGCUGGUGAGAGAAUCUGGCAAAGUAUCAAAGGGAAUUCACUGAAAAGCUGUAAUUCCAAAUAAAAAUGGCUGAAAAAGUUCAAGGAGCCUCCUCUAUAUGAUCUUGUAGCCACUAAAUAAAGAAGGAUCUAGACAAAAUAGGAUCCUGUUAGUGAACUCUGAUAAAUCUCUGUAGUCACUGAAAGGCAGGGAUGAACUCCUUGAAAUGAUAAGAAGGAUGGAAAAGGAAUCUUUCAUGACAGUUUGUUUUUUCUUGAUGUUCAGUGGCAUGUUACUGCCUAAGCCAGCCCAGCUGGAAACAGAGGCACAUAGAAAACAAGUGCCACCUGACAGCUACAUGAGAGUGAGUCUUACCCCACCGAUUCUCAAAAUAAGCUUAACUGUAUUUUAUGACAGUAACUGAUCAAAUCCAAGACACCACGUCGUCAGUCCCAAAGAUUGAAAUGUUUUAUCCACAUCUAGGAAGUGACAACCGUGCAAACUCCCAUGCUGAACUGAGAAAACUUUCAUUUCAUGUGCUGAAAGGCACGAUUGCCAAACCAGGGAACCUGAAACUAGAAGUGCACAGGAGGAUGAUUCAGCAGGGCAGCCCAGGGAUGCUGGGGUCAAGCAGCCAGGAAAAAGAGACCAUAGGCCAUGGGUAUCUGAAGCUGCAUCUGAACAUGUUUACUUGCAGUGAAGCGUUACCCAUACUGGUUACAAAAGAGGAACCUUGAGGAAAGCUGUGAUACUGCCUAAUGACUCAAUACUCACUCACAAGAAAGGCACUUCUCUAAACGGUGUGUUAUCACCAGAUAGUCUUUCAGACUUUCUUCUUUAGUGGACGCAGUGACUUGUAGUCACAUGCUCAUGCCAUUGAUCAUUCAGUAUUUCACAAAUUCUCUGGGAAAGUGCUCAGACUUGGCCAGAUAAAUAGAGCUGUGACUGUCACUGAGGCUCCCUUCUCUGUCUGGCACAGACUGAAGAUAGGGGGAGAUGUUUCCACAGCCGGCACCAGAGCUGCUGCUAAGGAUGAAGGGUGCUCACCUGUGAGUUUGAACUCGAAGGCUACUGCUAACGACAAGAAUGGCCAGAGUACAUAGUCUGUGGAUUAAAACAAGUAAAGACAUUCACAAGGUUAGGGUGCAGAAGUGGAAGGGAGUGCUGGGAUUACCACUGAACUAUUGCUUUGAGAAAUACAAGGGGGAAAAGAAAGAGGACAGGACAGUUUUAGAGAGAAAGAGCACAAAGCAACUUUUGGACCCUUUCGGGUCCCUUCGUUCUGUCUGGCAUGAAUCAGAGUACCUUGCAGCAGCUCUGAGAUGUGCUCUGACCCCCACAGCCAACGAUGGGCCCAACCACAGAGCGUUUCAGUGUGACCCAUUGGCAGUGCUCCCCAAAGGAGCCUACAGAGCAAGUUGUUUGUGCCUCUCCUGCCCCCUUUCUACAGACUGAGAGAGCUGUCAGGACAUCAGAUUAACCACAAGUAGGGAUCAAGUCGUGCUCCAGGAGUGACUAAGAGGUUUGUUAAAUAAACUGCCUGCUCAGGCUGGUAAAGGUGACUGGGAGGGCUGAUGUGUUCCCUUUAAAAGGAACAUGAGUCUUACCGAACAGAUCAUCACGAAGCAUAGAAUCAUUAAGGUUGGAAAAGACCUCUAAGGUCAUCAGUCCGACCAAAUGUUCACCUGCCACCAAUACUGCCCUCAUUUCAGGCACAUCCAAGACCAUCACAGACCUCAAGCAAAUACUGCAAAAGCCACGAUGAAGCUGCUGAUGUGAAUGAGCUACUCUGCCAAAUCCUGCAGCCCCUUGUCUUGACUAUAACUCUUGCAGUCAACACAGGCACCCAGAAUUAGGAUUCAAAACUGCACUGAAAGUAAAGGGCACAAAUUAGUUGUGCAAACAGCCUUUCUCCUCACUGUUAAAAUGCGAGGCUGCAAGGGAGGGCAGUCAGUUCGAAUGCAUGACCAGGAGCUGCUGUAAAAUUCCUUGCAGAAACAAGAGACCUAUUAUGUUUAUCACCAAUUUGCUAAGUAAGGUUAAUACUCUGGCAUUGGCCCUGCCUCACAUGCCCUUAGUAGCACUACCAAGCUUUGUCCCACUAAGAUUUUACAGUAGAAGAGAUAACACACAUUCGAUAACCCAUUAUAAACACGCACUUUUAUUCUCCCCCCUUCACCCUCAUGCCUUUGCAGCAGGGAAGAUAAUGCUCUCACCAGUGGACCUAUUUCCAGCACCUGUAACCAGCUUAUGGCUAAGGAAACAGAGACCCAUCAGCCAUUGUGGUCAGAUGAAUAGUCUGUGUGGAUAUCAAUAUCAUAAUAAAUCAUUCCACUGCUGAAAGUCAUCUUACCCUCAGAAGGAUCUGAAUGGCAACUAUUUCCAAAUCCUUACAUACAUCCAUUUACAGUAGCUGAACUGUGGGAGGAGACUGAACUAUUUUUCAGUUCGCAUGAUAGUCAGCUGUUCCUCAUUUAGGAAUGAAUCCAUUUGCCUUUGUAUUAGGCCCAAAUAAUAGCUCCUGAAAUUGAGAUGUAAUCACCAACUAAAACUAGGAUUAAGCUAACGCCACCGAACUCCUUUGUUCCUCAAAACACAUUCAAACCCCCUGACCAGAUUCUGAUCUUGAUGUGAAUCUCAACUCACUGAGUUAAAUCCAAAAGCCACACCAUUUAAGUGGUGUAUCUCAGUGGAACCGAAGUUCAGAAUCAGUCCUUAAUACUGGUGCACAUGGUACUGUGCAGAACGAGCCCCACACUAUUUAUAGCUCACACUAUAUAUACACACUGCAGCUUCCAAAAGCAUAUUUCAUCUUUUGGGAGGACAAUGCUUUCUGAACUGUAAGAAAAGGCUGAGUUUUGUCAAAAAAUCUGCUCAAAUCCUUAACCUGGAAGAGCGGCCCCACGCUGCCAAUCAGAUAAUAAGCCGAAUUCUUACAUCACACUUUGUUUGUAGCUCACUGUGUAGUUAAUGGUUGCAGCUUAUCUAACAGGAGAAAUGUGAAACCAGAGUUUUAGAACAAUGGGAACAUGCCUGUCACCAGCAGGCUGCCAAUGAAUCAUGUCCCUGCAGUCAGGCUCUCCCAGAAGGUCAUUUACAACAGAAAUACAUCUCUGCCUGUAGCUGCUAAAAUGCUGAAAAGUGUCUUUCAGUUCUACAUGAGCAAACCAAUUACCAGAACAAUUUUACCUUGCAGUAUUUCUGAGUUCUGUUGAUUGCAAUAUGUGGCAAUAAAGGCUCUGUGUCUGAGAUUCUAAGAGUGUUUUUAACUUCACUUUGAAUAGAAGGAAGCUAAAAACCCAAUCUUGUAGAAACCUUAAGACAAAGGUGACUUAGUGCUAUCCCUCACAUUUAAAACAAAGGAAAAAGGAAAACAGGAGAAAAGAGGAAAACAGGGGAGAGAAGGGGCUGUUUUUAAGCAGAGUAACAUUCUUCCACAGCAUUCAGAAUGGAAACCCUGAAAUCACUGAAAGACACCAAACUCUUUAAAAAGGAAGCCCUAAGGAACAGAAAGCAGCUCCGAUGCUUGCCUAGGGAGAUAUGCAGAAAUAGGACGAUGAAUUACCCCCCCCUCAAAACAAAAUAUCAACUAUUAGCUGUGUCAAAUAUGGAAGUUAUUGUUUUGCUAAUAGAUAAUUACUUUAAAGUGACAUUUUCACUGCUCUGUCUGAAGCUUAAAGGGAAAAUUCUCUUCUGCUGCACUUGCAAAAGAACUGCUGAUUUUCUGCAAGAGGGAAGAGAACAGAUGAUGGGGGGGGGAAUCUAUUCCCUUAUGAAGAAUGUCAUUGGCACAAACAGCUGGCAGUCGGUGGCAUAUUAUUUAUAUGUGCAGUUGCUCGUGUUUUUUAACUGAUAAGAAAGCGAUAGCUCAUUUGCAAUGCAGGUGAGGAACGUGAGUGGCUCCACAGCGCCGCUGGCCCCUGGGCCACCUUCCUUAUCAUAUUGAAAACAUCUGUCAGGGCGCAAAUGAAUUCAUUAUAAAAGCACAUCAAAUGUGCAGUUUCAGGAUGAGACAGCAGUCUGCAAAGAAAGCAGAAGCAUGUGCUCCCCCUGUUAAAGCUCAGAUGGUCGGGCCCAUUUGCUUUUCUUCUUUUUUUUUUCUUUUUUAACCAUUUGGGAGGAGGAGAGAAAAAGAGAGAAACCUUGGAAAUGUCACAGUUAUAAAUUACCCCUUCUCUGGGAGCCAGAUGUGUUUGAGAAUGGGCUUGCCGGUGAGGGAGUGAUGGUUCACACGCAGAGCAUGCAGACGCUCUGCAAAAUGAGCAUCAUGUUGCUGCACGCAGAGCCCUGUGCUCCUGUGGGCUGCAGCCAGAGCUGGGCUUUGUGGUCAGAGGAUCUGAGCUGAGAAAACAGUGAUAGGCUGGGGGAGAAAGGCUGCAUGGGGGGAGACAGUGUGGGGGUUAGCAGCAGAAGUGCAUCUGUGGGAGACUCUGGGCACACAGAUGGAAAUGGAGUUAUUCUAAGGGGAGGUGGUAAUGAGCUGAUGGGAGCUUCAGCUUCCAGGGGAGGUGAGGUGCAUCCUUAAUCCACGCUGAAGAGGAAGACAGGGCAGGUUGAAAGCGGCUCAUGCGCCCACAGUGCAUCCCUGCUGCAGUGCUGCACGUGGCUUACAUCUCCAAUGCAAUGAUUUGUAAUGUGGGCCAUGGUUGCCAUUGCUGUUGUUCUUCAGGGCUGGGUCCAAGACCCCUGUGAAUACAAAGAUAUUUUUGUGCUUCUCAUUAACAGGGACCAGGACAGCUCAAGGUAACCUCAAAAUCCCUGAUGCGUAAAAGAGGCCUAGAAAUACUUCUGCAGCUCCGGAAGCAGGUGGCCAGAUUGAGACCAUGAUCUGUGUCACACUGAGGGACCACUCACUGAUCUGUGCGUGGGCUUUUAUUAAAAAAGAAAAAAGAAAAAUGUUUGUGCCUUUUCCUCUUGCAGAGAAUGACCUCUCAUGCUGAUGCAGAGGAGGAAACUAGAGCCAGACUGGAUGGGACCGUUACUUCUUUUACCCCAUCCCUGGAGGUGCCCAAGGCCAUUUUGGAUGGAGUCCUGGGCAGUCUGAGCUGGUGGGGGCAGCCAGCUCAUGGCACGGGGCUGGAGCUCCGUAAUCUUUAACGUCCCCUCCAACCUACGCCCUUCAAUAAUUCUAUGAUUCUUCCGUCCAUGCACAGCAGCCAGACACACAGUGCUGCCUCUGUUCCACUCAAGACUGCUCCACUGAACCCACCGGGCUACUGCCGCACUCAUGGACAACAUGCACACCACCUUCAUUUUCUUCCCAAAGAGCACAAAAACCAGAUGUACAACUUAAGAAAAAUAGUGGAAAAUACCUAUUUUAACUUUGCUUCUAAUCACAAAAGAUAUACUCUUAAAUAUGCAUACAUCAGCAGAAACAUUGGGUAAGGGCUCCCACUCUAAAACAAACAGAGAUAUGCACUUUGAGCCCUCAUAUGAAAUGGCAGUAAAAGCCCAACCCAAUUAUUAUUUUCCUUGAUUUUCAGCCAGACGAGGCACAAGACAAAUAAGUCAUCAAGGACAAAUAAAAGGAGGUUCAUUCAUUGCAUUCAGGGCUGGAAUCUUUAAUGGCCACCGAAUGAACUAAGAUAACUAAGUAACCAUUGUAAAUAUUAAUCUUUAAAGGAAAACAAUACUCCCAACAACAGGAAGCCUGAUAAGACAUUGGAUGUUGCCAUCAGUGUUAUGGAGUCUCUCUAAUUUCCUUAGUUUUUUCUUAUGCCUGUAGAGGGAUCAGGAAGGGGAACAUAUGGUAUCUCUCAAAGGAA